GUGCUUUUCUGGAUAUGAGAAGGUGCAAGAAAUUGGGCUCCUAAAAUCUUCUCCUGAAAAUAUCGAUCUGAAGGCCUGUUCUGCCAGUUUUCCCCAAAGCACAGGGUGCCUCAUUCCUGAUCUCCACUCUGAACUCCCUUCAAGGUGUGUUGAAGGUCAGUGACUGCGGCGGCUAGUGACUUCACUCUUAUACACUAGAGCCAGAUGGUAAGCGACAAUUUUUAGUUGGCAGUAAAUAGGGUCUUUACAGAGGUAAUAUGAUUAAAUGAGGUCAUUAGGGAGGGACCUAAUCCACUUUAGCUGGUGUCUUUAUAAAGAGAUUGGGAAACACACACCCAGAGGAAAGAUGACGUGAAGACAGGAGAUGGUCAUCUACGUGCCAAGGAGAAGGGCCUCGGAGUAAACAACCCUGCCCACACCGUGAUCUCCCAACUUGUCUCUAGAACCGUCCUCAGACUGUGCUCCCAUGGAGUAGACAGUGUCCGAUGACCUUUGUAUCCAAACUUGGAAGAAGCUCAAUAAAUUACUUACUAGUUUUAGUUGUUCAAACAACAACAAAAAAACAUGUCUUCAGAAAUACCCACCAUAGAGAUUAUGAAUGUGUUGCUAAAUGGAUUUGGAAAUUUCCAAGUUCAACCAAGGUAUGAAUUACAACUAUUCGAUUUGCCAUUAACCAAAAGGUCUGCAAGCCUUCUACUCAAGAGCUCCGAACGAGGAUCUAACAGGACUCAAGAAUUCUAAUGAAUUCAGGUACAAUUCAAGAAUGGUGGCUGCAGCAAAAAGAGCCAUGAAGUCUUCCCUCCCCUGAGAGCAAGGGAGACAAAGGGAGCAGCGAGCAGGCAGAGGAGCAGCACAGCCGGCCCUGAGUUAAUCGUGUUGCGAUGUAAAUAGAAGUGAGAGUUUUCUUUUUUCUUCUCCUGAGAGCAAGGGGGAAAAAAGGAGCAUCGAGCAGGCGAAAGAAGCGGCACAGCCGGCCCUGAGAGAGUUAAUCACUCCUUGUUUAACUGUCACUAAUUUGUAGUAACUGGAUUUGUACUUUACAAAGCGAAACUCACUCCCUGACACUAUGUAAUUUACAUUCGGCACCCAUCACCCCUAACUCUGUGAGUUACAUACCCCGCCUUUCACUCCCGGCACUUACAUUCUUCUAUACGCCCCUCGUAACAAAUCACCCCCUAUAGUUUUUGCAUUUCAGAGACAAGGUCACAGGCCGAUAAACCAGAGGCAAAUGGACGCAGUUACCAGACUGCCGGACCCCAAUUACCAGGCAGCCUGACGCCAGCUAUGAUUGUUUUGAAAUAAUGCAAAGAAAGGAAGCAUGCAAGACCUUCACUACUUCGAUCCUUAUCAUAUACCCCGGGCUGUGAGCCCCACAUGUAAAAUCUCCCGAUUCCCUAGGAGGGGGCGGGGCACAGUUCUUGAGGCGCUAGCUUGCUGUGUCUUCCCUUCUGCCUAGCAGAAAAAUAAAGCCAUCUCUCUCUUCCUCCAAAA